ACUUUCCAAGGUUGGCUGAACUUAAGCAUAUCAAAACCCGGAGGAA
rnacentral:rRNA from 1 species